AUCCUUCCCGCAGCUGCCGAGGCCCUGCCGGUCUUCCUCAGAGGAUGUUUCUCCAACCUCUGCUUCAGAGAAUUUGGUGCAUUUGUGAGUUGAUCUCCGCGGUGACUGAAUAAGGCCUGUCUGCCCCCUAGACCGUAAGCCCAUGACGGCGGGACUUGCCCUUAAUAACUGCAGCAUUUGCAGGAUAAACAGGGAUGCACAGAGGUGGUGGGUUCCCUGCCUCCCUUCAAAGUCCCACAGGGCUCCCUAGAUUCUUCCUGGGGGCCGCGCCCUGGAAACCAAGCGGCAGCUGGAAGCCAGGAGAGGGGGUGAGCAGCCCGCCGGGCCUUGCAGCUGGAGGUCGUGUCUCCUAGGAGGAGCCUAUCACUGGCUGGUCGAUGUGGCCACUGAUGCACUGAGAAUAAAGGGACCUGUCCAAGGGAGGCAUCCAGAGCUGGAAGGGGAGCAGUCAGAGCCUUGUCACGUUCCCGGAAACAGCCAGCCUCCGUGGGGCAGCCUGGCCUCUGGUCCCUUUCUUGCUGGAAACCACCUCCUGGUGGACCUCCAGGCUGUCCACCUGAGAUGACCAAGCAGGCAGAGGAAGAGGGGAAGACACAGAGCCUGUUGACCUGGAACUCCGAGGAACACCUGCUCCCUGCAU